CUCCGCCGGCGGAGCCUCAGAGCUCUGGCUCUCUGCCCCUUGCAGAGCUAGGGAUGCUGCGUGUCAACCAGCAGCUCGGUGUGAUCGGGAAAUGUGGUGAAUGUUCACAGAAAAUUGCCUCCCUCACUUCUAACACACUCAUCCCAUCCUUCUGCCCCUUUCUGCAGCAGCUCUGGUGGCCUCUCCUGAGUGUCUAGUGCUGUCCUGGCUGCCUUGAUGUCCUGAAUCUACUCAAAAUGAUUCCCUUUCACGGUCAUCUUGACUUUGAGGAAAAGCCAGGAGUGCACAGUGCCAGGCCCGGUGAACAGGCAGUGAGCACGCAGCGUCCUGUCUUUCUGAGCCUGGCUGUCCUUUGGAUGGCAGCGGUCACUGUUUUUGAUCACAUCUCAAAGACCCUCAAGAAAGAGCACUCCAGAGCUGCUUCAGUCAGAAAGGGAUCAGGGCAGCGGGAUGAAUUGAGGGGGAGGAUUUUUAAGGGGGAUUCACGGCAGUGUGUCUUCUCCUGUAAUCUUUUAAAAAAUCUAAACAUCCUGCUAGCGUGGUGGUGCACACCUGUACUCCUAGCACUGGGGAGGCUGAGGCAGGAGGAUCUGCUGUGAGUUCCUGGACGACAUAGCAAGACCCUGUCUCAAAAGACUGAAAACCAAAUCAACGGCACCCGGGAUGCAGGCACCAGCUGCGGGCGUCGGCGGACGUGGAGAGACGUUUGUUAAAGGAGCCAGUCCGUUUCCGCGUGUAUCCUCCCUCCUCUCCGAAUGUGCGCGUAGCCCCUUGGAGUCAGCCUCUGGUUUCAGAACCAUGGUGUCAGCUGCUCUUUCCUCUUCCCUAAGUACAAGUCGAUGCCUGGAGAUUAUGUGGCAGAGCCAGAGAGAGGGGCUCGGACUCAGCACGGGGGGCGAGCUCCCCGCGUGGCCUGUCCCCUCCCGGCCGGCCGGACCCAGAGCACAGCAGAAAAGGCAACAAACCCAGCAAGGGCGAGCCCCUCCUCCCCCGACGGCGCGAGGCGGCCGCAGCGUCCGCCCAGCCUGGCACUCUGGCCCAUGGGCGACAGCAGCAGGGGCCUGGCAGCAGCCGCCGCACAGCAGCUGAGGACAGGACUGUGGGGCAGAACUUGAGGACCCAGCGUUCAUGACAAGACCGCUGCCCGCGCUCUGGAGCAGAGGCCCACAGGCCGAGGGAGCCCUUGGCUGGCAGUCAUCUCUCAGGAUCAGCUGUGGCUCCCGAAGGACUUAGCCACGAAACAGAGGUGACCCUGAAGAGCAGGUCGGUGCUGGGAGAGUAGACUUCGGAGGAGGAG
ensembl:lncRNA